rnacentral:lncRNA from 1 species
CGCAUCCGGUCCGUCAAAUGUCUUAUGAUCUAUAGAGCCCUUUUGAUUUUUCUAUGGCAACAUUUGCUAUGCUGACGUCAUUGCCACGUCAUUACUGUCAGUCAGACAGAAAUAAAAGAAAAAUGGAUGCCGUUCAGACGUACACGCAUUAUUUGGAACUGAAAAUUACGUAAUUUAUCGACCUGCUGGCUUGUAUUUGUUAUAAAUCAUAAAAAAAUUAUGGAAAACAUCAUGAACAAUAAUGAAACAAACCGAACCUUUAGCUACAAUAAUAAAAUGACCCCAUGACGCCAGUGGAACUACGUGGUUUUCUUUCAUGAUGAUUUGAUGAUACCAUAAUGGAAUUAGCCAAGUUUUCGCCGUAUUGGGUGCUAGAUGCCCCUUGGAGUUAAGCCCCAGUGCCACUAUACUACCUUACCAGUUAUGUGUGGGUGUUGUAGUCCUAAGACACCCCGGAGGUACAAAGGGCCUUCACAAACUCACGCCACGCCUUCCUAUCUUCAGCAACCCUCGUGACCUCGCUCCACCAGCUCAAACCUGCCAGUCGCAGCUCAUUUUUCGACGGACCGCUUCCAUGAGUAGACAAGGCACCGACGAUCACGGAUUGCAUCACCUGUACUGCUUCGUAAUAUAGCAUGCUGAACAAUACUGCCAUUAUACUAGGAUCAACGUCCUGCCCCUUCCCCGGCUGUGUACAAAUUGGAACUCCAUUUGCAUGCCCCUUUGACUGAGCAAUGUGUGUAUGUGCUCGAAACACAUUCACUUGCAACAGAAUGACUCCCAGGCUGACCUGGCUCAGCUCCUGUAUGUCUGUUCUACAUAGACAAUGGUUUCAAUGAAAGAGUUAAAAUUCUUCUCCAUGUACAAUCACUUCUAACGCCUACACUGACUACACCAAAUAUGAUCAUCACUCAACGUGUCUCACAUCAAGAUACUUUUCAAAAGUCAUCGAGAAGAGGAACAUAAUAUCUUUUUUCCCAUUGUUGCCUGAAUAAUCCUAACUAAAAGUUACUUCUCUAUUCUAUUUUUCCUGCAUGGAGUGGCGCUUUUCCGUCUAAUGGAAACGAUAUGAACAUAUAUGCUCUGGGUUUUUUUUUUUUGUGCACCUUUCCAAUAUUACUAAUAAAGCAUUU